UACAGAGGUGGCAAGCGUUGUUCGGAAUUACUGGGCGUAAAGGGCGCGUAGGCGGUUCGAUAAGUCCCGUGUGAAAUCCCUCGGCUCAACUGAGGAACUGCGUCCGAUACUGGCAGGCUUGAAUUCGGGAGAGGGAUGCGGAAUUCUAGGUGUAGCGGUGAAAUGCGUAGAUAUCUGGAGGAACACCGGUGGCGAAGGCGGCAUCCUGGACCGAAAUUGACGCUGAGGCGCGAAAGCCAGGGGAGCAAACGGG
rnacentral:rRNA from 1 species